UACGGGGGGAGCAAGCGUUGUUCGGAUUUACUGGGCGUAAAGGGCGCGUAGGCGGCGUGACAAGUCACUUGUGAAAUCUCCGGGCUUAACUCGGAACGGUCAAGUGAUACUGUCGUGCUAGAGUACAGAAGGGGCAACUGGAAUUCUCGGUGUAGCGGUGAAAUGCGUAGAUAUCGAGAGGAACACCGGUGGCGAAGGCGGGUCUCUGGGCCGAUACUGACGCUGAGGAGCGAAAGCGUGGGGAGCGAACAGG
rnacentral:rRNA from 1 species